ensembl:lncRNA
CAUAACAUUAUGACCACUGACAGGUGAAGUGAGUAACACUGAUAAUCUCGUUAUCAUGGCAUCUGUCUGUGGGUGGGAUAUAUUAGGCAGCAAGUGAACAUUCUGUCCUCAAACUGGAUGUGUCAGAAGCAGGAAAAAUAGGCAAGCGUAAGGAUCUGAGCGACUUUAACAAGGGCCAAAUUGUGAUGGCUGGACGACUGGGUAAGAGUAUAUCCAGAAUGCAGCCCUUUUGGGUUGUUCCUGGUCUGCAGUGGUCAGUACCUAUCAAAAGUGGUCCAAGGAAGGAAAAGCGUUGAACCGGCGACAGGGUCAUGGACGACCAAGGCUCAUUGACGCACGUGGGGAGCGAAGCCUGGCCUGUGUGGUCCAAUUCAACAGAUGCAAUAGAAGAAGGUGGUCUGACGAAUGAAACAAAUGGCACCAGGAUGCACUAUGGGAAGGAAUCAAGCCGGCGGAGGCAGUGUGAUGCUUUCGACAAUGUCCUGCUGGGAAACCUUGGGUCCUGCCAUUCAUGUGGAUGUUACUUUGACACCAACCACCUACCUGAGCGUUGUUGCGGACCAUGUGCACCCUUUCAUGGCAACGGUAUUCCCUCACGGCAUUGGCCUCUUUCAGCAGGAUAAUGCGCCCUGCCACAAAGCAAAAAUGGCUCAGGAAUGGUUUGAGAAACAGAACAACGAGUUCAAUGUGUCGACUUGGCCUCCAAAUUCCCCGGACGUCAAUCGAGCAUUUGUGGGAUGUGCUGGACAAACAGGUCCAAUCCAUGGAGAACCCACCUCGCAACUUACAGGACUUAAAGGAUCUGCUGCUAGUUUCUUGGUGCCAGAUACCACAGCACACCUUCAGAGGUCUAGUGGAGUCCAUGCCUCGAAUGAGUCAGGGCUGUUUUAUAACUGGGGUCUUAUAUCCCCAGUUAAAAGAGGGUGGGCACACUUAUGCAACCAGGUUAUUGUGAGUUUUUUAUUUUUCCCCCUCAAAGAUUUGUUAGGUUUUUUUUUUUCUCAAUUGAAUUGUUCACAUUAUAGGUCACAUUUAAGGUGGAAAUAGUUCUGACAUGAUUUAUCCCUGUCUCAUUCUUUAACAUCACAAGAACCUGGCAUUUUAACAGGGGUGUGUAGACUUUAUAUAUCCACUGUAUAAAUAAAUUAAUACAAGUCGACUUUAAGUCGUUCAUCUGUAACAUGGUAGUAUUCUUCAUACCAGGUUUAGAGCAUAACUCACAACCAUGUAGCUACUUAAAGUCACACACCAAGUAACGUUUUCAUAAUGACUUACUUCAGCGAAUCACAUGACUGCGAGUGGCGGCUUCAAACGGAGGCAAGACACGUGGGAAACAUACAUUAGGGGGUUUGGAUGAAGCUGCUGAAGCAGAUCAGUGACCAGUAGACUGAGCUGGUAUGACCAAUGCCCACGCGUAGUCCUUUGCUUUGAGCUAGUCCAGGAACUAGAUCACUGUCUCCCUAAAAAUAGUGCACAGUGCAGUACGUGUGUGUGUAGUUCGGGGUUGCCUGUGUGUGUUGCUCCUGCUCCAUUUAGUCAUGGCAGUGAUGGCAGAGGUGCCAGAGGAGCAAAGAUGGCAGGGGAGCAGAGAAGGCAGGUGGGCAGGAGUGGCAGGGGAAUAGAGGUAGCAGGAGAGCAGAGGUAGCAGGGGAGCAGAGGUAGCAGGGGAGCAGAGGUAGCAGGGGAGCAGAGGUAGCAGGGGAGCAGGAGAGUAGAGGUAGCAGGAGAGCAGAGGUAACAGGAGAGUAGAGGUAGCAGGGGAGCAGAGGUAGCAGGAGAGCAGAGGUAGCAGGGGAGUAGAGGUAGCAGGGGAGUAGAGGUAACAGGAGAGUAGAGGUAGCAGGGGAGUAGAGGUAGCAGGGGAGUAGAGGUAACAGGGGAGUAGAGGUAGCAGGGGAGUAGAGGUAGCAGGGGAGCAGAGGUAACAGGGGAGUAGAGGUAGCAGGGGAGCAGAGGUAGCAGGGGAGCAGAGGCUCCAGGGUCUAAAUGUGUUUCCUGUGUCUGACGGUUUGGAGGUUACUGGGUAUCAGAACACACUGCUCCUGCACAGCAUAGACAUUUUCCAUUCUGUCAGCGCGAGCACACUAGCUCCUUCCAAACUCAGCGCCACUUCAUUAAAUGACUUCAGACUCUUGGCAGAGGCAGUGGGAAAAGUCUAUAUUAACUGUGUGUGAGAUCCACUGGGCGGCCAACAAAGGCCAUAGUUGUUCCCCGGCACCAGUCGCUGCUGGCGGGGAGGGGUACUGGGACUGGAGGGUACCCCUUUAGGUUAGGCACUGCAGACGAUACGGCACCCCAAAAAAUUAAAUCAACCAGGACCCAGGUGGUCUCACCCCUGACUUACCUUGGGAGGAAGUACGGUCAGAGCUGUGACCUAUGGUGAUAAUAAAAUGGCUGAAAUACCUGGUUCAGUUUAGCGGCGGGCACAGGGAGCUUUGGAGCAAACUUUGCCCUGCAGGGCAAGCAGAUCUGCUCGCGUGUAUACAGGAGGUUGUUACGUUUUGCGGCAGGCAAAAUGCAGUGCAGGGAACUGAACCAUUUACUCUGCACAUUUCAAAGAUUUCAUUAAAGGGUACAGGUCUGCAAGAAAACAUGCUGUAACUUUACAGAACCAGUCCACCACAGUCAGCCCGACUGUUGCCCAGUUCACAUACACCAGGGCAGCCACAUCAAACUCUGAUGGAAGACUAUGUAAAUAUAC